rnacentral:lncRNA from 1 species
UAUCAAUUUAUUUUAAAAAUAACCUUCACACAUGAUUUGAUGGAAACGUGUUUUAGGCUGGAUAUACUCGAUUAUUUCGCAAUUGUUUACGAAGCUUUCUACGUAAAUACAUGAGUCUAAAUUUAAGAAUUCGGUUAUUACAACACUAUUCUUCUAUUCUGUCGUUACAGGUAGUAGCAUCUUCUGCUAUGUUACAACAGCUGGCUUGC